rnacentral:rRNA from 1 species
GAUGAACGCUGGCGGCGUGCCUAAUACAUGCAAGUCGAGCGAACAGAUAAGGAGCUUGCUCCUUUGACGUUAGCGGCGGACGGGUGAGUAACACGUGGGUAACCUACCUAUAAGACUGAAUAACUCCGGGAAAUCGGGGCUAAUGCCGGAUAACAUUUAGAACCGCAUGGUUCUAAAGUGAAAGAUGGUUUUGCUAUCAAUUAUUGAUGGACCCGCGCCGUAUUAGCUAGUUGGUAAGGUAACGGCUUACCAAGGCAACGAUACGUAGCCGACCUGUGAGGGUGAUCGGCCGCACUGGAACUGAGACACGGUCCAGACUCCUACGGGAUGCAGCAGUAGGGAAUCUUCCGCAAUAGGCGGAAACCUGACGGAGCGACGCCACGUGAGUGAUAAAAGUCUUCGGAUCGUAAAACUGUGUUAUUAGGGAAGAACAAAUGUGUAAGUAACUGUACACGUCUUGACGGUACCUAAUCAGAAAGCCACGGCUAACUACGUG